rnacentral:rRNA from 1 species
AACGAACGCUGGCGGCAUGCCUAACACAUGCAAGUCGAACGAGACCUUCGGGUCUAGUGGCGCACGGGUGCGUAACGCGUGGGAACCUGCCCUUAGGUUCGGAAUAACUCCCCGAAAGGGGUGCUAAUACCGGAUAAUGUCUUCGGACCAAAGAUUUAUCGCCUUUGGAUGGGCCCGCGUUGGAUUAGCUAGUUGGUAGGGUAAAAGCCUACCAAGGCGACGAUCCAUAGCUGGUCUGAGAGGAUGAUCAGCCACACUGGGACUGAGACACGGCCCAGACUCCUACGGGAGGCAGCAGUGGGGAAUAUUGGACAAUGGGCGAAAGCCUGAUCCAGCAAUGCCGCGUGAGGGAUGAAGGCCUUAGGGUUGUAAAGCUCUUUUACCCGGGAUGAUAAUGACAGUACCGGGAGAAUAAGCACCGGCUAACUCCGUG